UCUAUUACCCAAUCACUCCUUCCAAUCAAGUUUUCUUGGAGCAUGUCUCAUACAUGAACCAGAUAUUUGACUUCAGACUGACUUCCAUAUUAACAGUAAAAUGUUAAAAAAAAACUUAAAUUAUACCUUGAUAACAUCCUGAUACUUGUAUCAAAACAUUAUCUUUACAAACAUAACAUAGAUAUAAAUUAAAAAUACUAUGUAAUGUCUGCAAUUAAAUACUAUUAAAAAUAAUAAAUAUUCAUCCAGACGAACCAUUGAAAAAUAAUAAAAUUUAAAAUUAUCUACACUACUGUAAACACUUCACCGUUAUAACAUAUGAAAAUAAGUCUUACUUGUGAACCGUUUAAUACUAUUAUCUAUCUUUCUAUUUAAUAAUUAAAUACAUAUAACCAUUUCACACUCAAUCCCAUAUUUGAAAUAACUUGAUAAAAUUUAUUUAAAAAUAAUGCAUUAAUAUCUCUUUAGAAUAUAAAAUUGUGAUAAUGCAUGUUCAUUGACAUGUCAUCAUCGUGUUUUGCUGUCAAAGAUCUCAUUCACUAUGAGGUGUGUAAUUAGUCAUGGUCUUAGCUUCUUGUGAAGUGUAUAGUCAACAAAAACUACCCUUUGAAAAUGGGUCGAAUCGUCAUACGAUUUUAGCCUACUGAUAAGAAUUUGUUGACUAUUUUGUGUAUUUCUUUGUAAUAAAAAAUAUCAACAAAUCCAGGUUGAUUGCAAUCCGACAUUUGUCUAAUUGUAAAAAUCCAUAUAUACAAAAAUAUUACAAACUUUCACACACUUCUUGCAAAAACAUCAAAUACCCAUUAGUCUAUUCUUAUAAUUAAAUAGUUAAUCGUCUUUCAUUGACUUUCAUUUCCCAAUUCACUCAAUCUAUCCCAGACCAUUUCUACAGAUAGCCAAAGUCACGAUAUGCAACCAGAGUUAAAAUGCAUCCAAUAAAACUUACUUUAAAAAACAAUAUUUCAAACAACUCCAAGCUCCCUCCUAUAUAUUGUAUAACAAUAUCAAACGUAAUGUGUAUUGACAAAACUGUUUAUAUUUAAGUUGAAGUUGUUUGUUAAGAUAACGUUAAUACCGUACCGUUUUAUUUAAGGUUACGUUAUUACAUCUUAUCAUGGCAACACUAAAACUCAAUAUUUUAUCAUGGCAUCCCCGCAAUUAAGCGUCCCGGAAGUGACAGAGGGGAUGUGUUAAGCUUCUCUCUGAUCAAACUGACCGUUGUCACUGGCUCAGUUUUGAAUUUCACCCUGUGUCGUGAAGUGAAAUGUAAUUGUGAAGUGUAAUGAAUUUUGUUGCUGAAGAAAAUAAUUGGCUCUAAUGAAUGAAUCCGGGUUGCUGGAUGAGUUGGGUGACCCUGAAUCUACCCUAAAGAUACGUAAGGCGUUUUUGAGUAAGCUGAUAUGUAAUUAGUCCUCCUAAUUAUAUGACGACAUUUUAUAAAUGUUCCAAGUAACGAGGUAUCGAGUGCCACUGAAUGCUGUCCUGUUAUUUUAUUUUGAGCUAAACUACCACAUUCAGCAUCUCUACACUCGACCCGCGACCCCAAGAACCAGUGUUCUUCUACUCUAGACUUGGUAAUAUUAGUCCCUACAAUGCAAGUUACAUCGAUAGAGUGAAGCCAAGAGGAGAAAAAAUUAUAUUGAUAAUAUUAUAAUAUAUAGAUAUAAUUUAAAAAUUUCAAGAGAAAUCCAAAUCAUAUUGUUCACAUUCCAGUUUUCUUAUGGCAGCAAAAAUGUAGCCGACGAGGCUACUCUAUGUAAUAAACUAUUUAUAUAUAUAUAAUCCUGGUCAUUCCGGCACCAAAAAUGUACCUUACCCCAUCUACUACUAAACUAAUUAACUAAAAUUCAACCAGGAUUAAAUAAAAAUAGGAAAAUAAAUAUAAUUUGGCCAUGUGAUCGUCUAGUGUAUUUACGUUGUGAACCUUAGUACCCUUCGUCUUUUAUGUGAAAACUGAUAUAAUUUGGAUUUUUCGAA